rnacentral:rRNA from 1 species
GUGGGGAAUAUUGGGCAAUGGGCGCAAGCCUGACCCAGCAACGCCGCGUGAAGGAAGAAGGCUUUCGGGUUGUAAACUUCUUUUAUCAGGGACGAAACAAAUGACGGUACCUGAAGAAUAAGCCACGGCUAACUACGUGCCAGCAGCCGCGGUAAUACGUAGGUGGCGAGCGUUAUCCGGAUUUACUGGGUGUAAAGGGCGCGUAGGCGGGAAAGCAAGUCAGAUGUGAAAUCUAUGGGCUUAACCCAUAAACUGCAUUUGAAACUGUUUUUCUUGAGUGAUGGAGAGGCAAGCGGAAUUCCUAGUGUAGCGGUGAAAUGCGUAGAUAUUAGGAGGAACACCAGUGGCGAAGGCGGCUUGCUGGACAUUAACUGACGCUGAGGCGCGAAAGCGUGGGGAGCAAACAGG